rnacentral:rRNA from 1 species
CCUACGGGGGGCAGCAGUGGGGAAUAUUGCACAAUGGGGGAAACCCUGAUGCAGCGACGCCGCGUGAGUGAUGAAGUAUUUCGGUAUGUAAAGCUCUAUCAUCAGGGAAGAAAAUGACGGUACCUGACUAAGAAUCCCCUGCUAACUACGUGCCAGCAGCCGCGGUCAUACGUAGUGGGCAAGCGUUAUCCGGAUUUACUGGGUGUAAAGGGAGCGGAGACGGCGGGGCAACUCAGAUGUGAAAGCCCGGGGCUCAACCCCUGGACUGCAUUUGAAACUGUGCUUCUAGAGUUUAGGAGAGGCAGGUGGAAUUCCUAGUGUAGCGGUGAAAUGCGUAGAUAUUAGGAGGAACACCAGUGGCGAAGGCGGCCUGCUGGACGAUGACUGACGUUGAGGCUCGAAAGCGUGGGGAGCAAACAGGAUUAGAUACCCCUGUAGUC